rnacentral:misc_RNA from 1 species
GUGAAUCAUCGAAUUUUUGAACGCAAAUUGCACUCUCCUCGAAUAGGAGGCCUGUUUGAGGUUCAGCCUAUAAAAAAUCGACAUCGUUUCUGUUGCGCGGUGGCGGUCGUCUGAAAUUUGGUUAUCUUAAAUCCUUUUGGGUUUUAAGCGACUGAAAAUUUUCUGUUUGGUUCCACGAACGGUUCUAAGAUGUGUUUCUUUACACGUUUAAGGUAUCGAUUUUUAUUAGACGGUACCAGCAUAUCAGAUCGCGUCCU